rnacentral:rRNA from 1 species
GAUGAACGCUGGCGGCGUGCCUAAUACAUGCAAGUCGAGCGAACGGACGAGAAGCUUGCUUCUCUGAUGUUAGCGGCGGACGGGUGAGUAACACGUGGAUAACCUACCUAUAAGACUGGGAUAACUUCGGGAAACCGGAGCUAAUACCGGAUAAUAUUUUGAACCGCAUGGUUCAAAAGUGAAAGACGGUCUUGCUGUCACUUAUAGAUGGAUCCGCGCUGCAUUAGCUAGUUGGUAAGGUAACGGCUUACCAAGGCAACGAUGCAUAGCCGACCUGAGAGGGUGAACGGCCACACGGGAACUGAGACACGGUCCAGACUCCUACGGGAGGCAGCAGUAGGGAAUCUUACGCAAUGGGCGAAAGCCUGACGGAGCAACGCCGCGUGAGUGAUGAAGGUCUUCGGAUCGUAAAACGCUGUUAGUAGGGAAGAACAUAUGUGUAAGUAACUGUGCACAUCUUGACGGUACCUAAUCAGAAAGCCACGGCUAACUACGUG